rnacentral:tRNA from 1 species
UUAGGCUAACCUAUUCUUUGCAAAUACAUAUAUGUAUUUNCCCCAUAUAU